rnacentral:rRNA from 1 species
CUACCCGCCGCCCCCAGCCGCCUCUUACUGCCGGAUCCGACCCGACCACCAUCGCCAUGGCUCGGCGCCUCCACCUCCCGGCGAUGCAUCCGACCUCCCCGCGCGGUGUGUCCACCCCCGCCGACGCGUCCCGCCGCCCUAACCCUCCCCUUCCUCGUGUCAGUAUGGGCAACAUCCAGCCGGUGCCUGAACCCCAUCCCACCGGCGCGGCUCACUGCAGUCGUGGUGCUUCUGCGCCACGCCGCCGUUGGUCAAUGCCCCGUCUUCCGCGGCUCUCCGUUGCUCCCUAUACAUUUUCUUCUCACCGAGAAGUAAUUCCUCCCUUGUCCUCUCAUGGUGACUAUUGCAGAAAAUAAACACACGGGGACGUGCUGCCCUCAGUCCUCUGUCGACGGAUCCAGCAGUGCAGGUUCUCCGGUGCGUGAAGUAUUGCCGGCGUCAUGCCCAUUGAGAAGAUGCAGAUUUUCUUUCUGGUUCUCUAGAUUGGUCUUGAUAAAGCUUUCAUACAGGAUGCAGCUUAAGCUGGAGUUCGUCGCUAAGCAGGAAACAUGGCUAUCAAUUAUCUUGUAUACAGAAGGUUUGGGACUGGAUCUUGUAAUGAAAGCUGGAGCAGAAGAAGUCCAGGAGGGAGAGCAGUUCGGCUUCCACGGCGCUGCCGACGUGCUCCCCUCGGCUUCCUGCAGUUCGAGGACGGACACCCCAGGUUCUCAAGCAGCAAAGUUAUCGCACAAAGUUGAACUUGCUGCUGCACCAUCUUCACCAAGUCAAACUUGCAACAGCCAGGGGAUCCACAGUCGUUGGGAGCUGUCCAAGUCCAGCUAUGACCGCAGUCCAAGUGGAACUGCGACCACCAUCUUCACCCAGUGCUGCACCCAUUGAGCACCCACACAGUGAGAACGCCAUCUCAUUGAGUGACAAUAUUAUGUAUGUUUGAUUUGCUCAACCUUAGAACUUGGAGAUAUUCACUCUAUUUUUCUAUGAUGAAGGCACACAUGAGAUCAUGUGCUAUGGUUAUCCCCCUAUUUUGUUUCUUCAAAUGUGUAUUUUGUUUCUUAUAAUGUGUUGUUCCCUUGUUCGAUGAGGUAAAACAAAGAAAAAUAGUGAAAAUG